rnacentral:rRNA from 1 species
UCAAGUGUGAGAAGAGCAUUUGGUGGAUGCCUUGGCGCUGAGAGGCUAUGAAGGACGUACUACGCUGCGAUAAGCCGCGAGGAGCUGCGAAGAAGCUUUGAUCCGCGGAUUUCCGAAUGGGGAAACCCACUUCCGAUAACGGAAUUCUGAGCUGCACGGCCGCAAGGUCGGGCGGUUCGGAUUUCCGUUAUCAAAUGGAAGUAUGAGAUCUCUGAAUAAAAUAGGGGAUUUCAAGCUAACCCGGAGAACUGAAACAUCUCAGUACCCGGAGGAAAGGACAUCAACAGAGACUCCGCUAGUAGUGGCGAGCGAACGCGGACCAGGCCAGUAAUAAUCCUAAGACAAGCAGAAGCGUUUGGAACGACGCGCCUCAGUGGGUGACAGCCCCGUAUGUGUAAUGCGAAGGAUUAUUCUCGAGUAGGGCGGGACACGUGAAAUCCUGUCUGAACGUGGGGGGACCACCCUCCAAGCCUAAGUACUCCUCAGCGACCGAUAGCGAACUAGUACCGUGAGGGAAAGGUGAAAAGCACCCCGACGAGGGGAGUGAAAGAGACCUGAAACCGAAUGCUUACAAACAGAUGGAGCCCAAGAUACGUUCUGGGUGACAUCGUACCUUUUGUAUAAUGGGCCAGCGACUUAAUUUGACGAGCAAGCUUAAGCCGAUAGGCGUAGGCGCAGCGAAAGCGAGUCUGAACAGGGCGUUCAGUUCGUCGGAUUAGACCCGAAACCUAGUGAUCUAGCCAUGGUCAGGUUGAAGGUGGGGUAACACCCACUGGAGGACCGAACCGGUGUCUGUUGAAAAAGCCUCGGAUGAACUGUGGCUAGGGGUGAAAGGCCAACCAAACUGGGAAAUAGCUGGUUUUCCGCGAAAGAUAUUUAGGUAUCGCCUCGGACGAAUACUGUGAGGGGUAGAGCACUGGAUAGGCUAGGGGGACUUACCGUCUUACCAAACCUAACCAAACUCCGAAUACUCAUAAGUACUAUCCGGGAGUCACACAGUGGGUGCUAACGUCCAUUGUGGAGAGGGAAAAAACCCUGACUAACAGCUAAGGCCCCUAAUUCGUGGCUAAGUGUGAAAGGAUGUGGGAAUCCCAUAACAACCAGGAGGUUGGCUUAGAAGCAGCCAUCCUUUAAAGAAAGCGUAACAGCUCACUGGUCUAAUUAAGGGUUCCUGCGCCGAAAAUGUAACGGGGCUCAAGCCACGAGCCGAAGCUUUAGGUGUGCACGCAAGUGUACGCGGUAGCGGAACGUUCCGUAAGCCUGUGAAGGGAGACCCGUGAGGGCUCCUGGAGGUAUCGGAAGUGCGAAUGCUGGCACGAGUAACGAAAAGGAGUGUGAAAGACACUCCCGCCGAAAGUCCAAGGGUUCCUGCGUAAAGCUAAUCUGCGCAGGGUUAGCCGGUCCCUAAGGCGAGGCCGAAAGGCGUAGUCGAUGGGAAUGCAGUUAAUAUUCUGCAGCCAGUGGGUAGUGACGAAUAUCGUAAGUUGUUCUCUCUUAUUGGAUUGAGAGGGCCGCGAAGAUGUUCCAGGAAAUAGCUCCCACAUAGACCGUACCCGAAACCGACACAGGUGGACUGGUAGAGAAUACCAAGGCGUUUGGGCGAACUAUGUUGAAGGAACUCGGCAAAUUACCUCCGUAACUUCGGGAUAAGGAGGACCUCUCAUCAGGCAACUUUUGAGGGGUGGCACAGACCAGGGGGUGGCGACUGUUUAACAAAAACACAGGGCUCUGCGAACUCGGAAGAGGACGUAUAGGGUCUGACGCCUGCCCGGUGCCGGAAGGUUAAGAGGAGGGGUGCAAGCCUUGAAUCGAAGCCCCGGUAAACGGCGGCCGUAACUAUAACGGUCCUAAGGUAGCGAAAUUCCUUGUCGGGUAAGUUC